CUUGGUCAUUUAGAGGAAGUAAAAGUCGUAAACAGGUUUCCGUAGGUGAAACCUGACGGAAAGGAUCAUUAUUGAAAUAAAAACCUGAUGAGUUGUUGCUGGUUACUCUUCUCCGGGAAUAUUGUGACAACACUUGGUCAAUCUUUAUAAUCACCAACCUGUGACACUUUUUUUUGUAGGAGAGGAUUAAACUUCCAGUCUAUGUUUACUUCAUAUACCCUAAUGUAAUGUUAUAGAAUGGUAAAUGUAAUGGGCCUUUGUUGCCUAUAAAAACUUUAUAACAACUUUCAGCAAACGGAUAUUCUUGGCUACUAGCAUCGAUGAAGAACGCAGCGAAAUGCGAUAAGUAAUGGUGAAUUGCAGAAUUCAGGUGAAUCAUCGAAUUCUUUGAACGCACCUUGCGCUCCUUGGUAUUCCGAGGAGCUGCCUGUUUGAGUGUUCAUUAAUAUAUCAACCUCACUUGUUGAGUGCUUGGAUGUGGGGGUUUUGCUGGACUCUUUUGAGGUCAGCUCCCUUGAAAUGCUUGCAGACAAAUCCGUUCUUUUGGUGUGAUAACUAUCUACGCUAAUUGACCAAGUUCAGCUUCUAACAGUCUUUAUUGACAAUUUUUUUAUUAUUAAUGUGACCUCAAAUCAGGUAGGACUACCCGCUGAACUUAAGCAUAUCAAUAAGCGGAGGA
rnacentral:rRNA from 1 species